rnacentral:rRNA from 1 species
AUUGAACGCUGGCGGCAUGCCUUACACAUGCAAGUCGAACGGUAACGGGCCUUCGGUUGCCGUCGAGUGGCGAACGGGUGCGUAAUACAAAGGAACGUGCCCGAUCGUGGUGGAUAACGAGUCGCAAGCUUUGCUAAUAGCGCAUACGAUCUACGGAUUAAAGCAGGGGAGCGCAAGGGCUUGCGAGGACGUAGCGGUCGAUGGCAGAUUAGGUAGUUGGUGGGAUAAAAGCUUACCAAGCCGACGAUCUGUAGCUGGUCUGAGAGGAUGAUCAGCCACACUGGGACUGAGACACGGCCCAGACUCCUACGGGAGGCAGCAGUGGGGAAUUUUGGACAAUGGGCGCAAGCCUGAUCCAGCCAUGCCGCGUGCAGGAUGAAGGCCUUCGGGUUGUAAACUGCUUUUGUACGGAACGAAAAGCCUUCUUUUAAUACAGGAGGGUCAUGACGGUACCGUAAGAAUAAGCACCGGCUAACUACGUG